rnacentral:ncRNA from 1 species
UUAUGGUUUAUAAAUUUUAUUUUAAGUUUAUUUUACAUGUAAAUUUUAGUGUUGUAUAUUAAUUAUUUAAAUAAUAUUUAAUUUUUAUUGCAGUAAUUAAUUUUAAAAAUUUAAGAAAUUAAGAUUUAGUAAUAUUUAAAUUAAUAACUAAUUUUGUGCCAGCAGUUGCGGUUAUACAAAAAUUAAUUUAAAAUUUUUUAGUUAUAAUAAUUAAUUAAAUUGUUAAUUUAAAUGAAAAAUUAUUAGGUGAAAUUUUAAUUUUAAAAAAAUUAUUUUAUAAUUAUGAAUUAAUAGAUUUUAUAAAAAACUAGGAUUAGAUACCCUAUUAUUAAAAAAUAAAAUAAAAAUACUAAAAUAGUAGGUAAUUAUUGAAACUUAAAUAAUUUGGCGGUAUUUUAGUUUAUUUAGAGGAAUCUGUUUAAUAAUUGAUAAUCCACGAAUAAAUUUACUUAAUUUAAAAUUUUGUAUAUCGUUGUUAAAAAAAUAUUUUUUAAUAAUAAUAAUAUUUAAAAAUUUAAAUAUGAAAUUAGAUCAGAUCAAGAUGCAGAUUAUAAUUAAGAAUAUAAUGGAUUACAAUAAAUUUAUUUAAAUUGGAUUUUAAUAUGAAAAGAUUAAAUGAAAUUGGAUUUAAAUGUAAUUUUAUAAAAUUUUAAAAAAUGAUUAAUAAUUAAAAUAUGUACAUAUUGCCCGUCGCUUUCAUUUAUAAAUUGAAAUAAGUCGUAACAAAGUAGAGGUACUGGAAAGUGUUUCUAGAAAGAU